CCAUACUGUAACUGUUUGCUGCUGUUGCUACUGCCUGUAUUCCUCCUGCCACCUGAAGUAUUUGCACUGGAUGAUAAAAUAAAUAAGACACUGAAAACAAUAUCCUAGUGUGACGAAUAUAUGACAACUGAUGUUGAUGGGGACAGGUCGCAGGAACUCAGUACAGAUAAUGCAAGCUCCUACUAUUUGAAGAAUAUGAACCUAUGAGUUGGCAAGAUCAGAUAAGCAUCUGAAGCCCCACGUUUUGGAGAUUCAUUCAUUCCUAGAUGGGAUUACAUUAUUUCCACUUUCAUAAAUUAGAGACUCAACUGAAAGCAUUCACAUCUCCCUUUGGAAAAGAGGGGAAGGAGAAAGGGUGGAAACGGACUUCUGGUAAAGCAAAGGGUUUCUACAUUAACUGGUGUCUGCAAAACGAGAUGGCAUGCCUGGAUCAUCACAAGAAGUAUAAAACUUGCAUUCCAAGAAACAGCCAUUUCAUUUUCCAGAGCCAAGUGCUAAAGGGAUCUCACAAUUACCUGCCAUCUUUACUGUAGCAGUCAGUACAAGAUGCAUGACAAUGCAGUGGGAGAAGGUAAGAAAAAUGGCUUGGAACCAAGAUGGCUGUGUCCAAAGUGCCUCCUCUGCUGUUGUUGCACAAAGUAUGAAACAAAAUGUGGAAGCAUUUAAUAGAUUUCUCCUAGGGUCAGCAGCCAUACAAUCUCUUCAUUCAGAUACAAAACACCCUUAAACUUUUUCUUGUAUCCAAUUACAGUUAGUCCCUUAUUCU